AGCAGCGGGCCGGGGUCCUCGUCAGAGGAGACGAGGUCAGUAGCGGCGGGCCGGGGUCCUCGUCAGAGGGGACGAGGUCAGUAGCGGCGGGCCGGGGUCCUCGUCAGAGGAGACGAGGUCAGUAGCGGCGGGCCGGGGUCCUCGUCAGAGGAGACGAGGUCAGUAGCGGCGGGCCGGGGUCCUCGUCAGAGGAGACGAGGUCAGUAGCGGCGGGCCGGGGUCCUCGUCAGAGGAGACGAGGUCAGUAGCGGCGGGCCGGGGUCCUCGUCAGAGGAGACGAGGUCAGUAGCGGCGGGCCGGGGUCCUCGUCAGAGGAGACGGGGUCAGUAGCGGCGGGCCGGGGUCCUCGUCAGAGGAGACGGGGUCAGUAGCGGCGGGCCGGGGUCCUCGUCAGAGGGGACGGGGUCAGUAGCGGCGGGCCGGGGUCCUCGUCAGAGGGGACGGGGUCAGUAGCGGCGGGCCGGGGUCCUCGUCAGAGGGGACGGGGUCAGUAGCGGCGGGCCGGGGUCCUCGUCAGAGGAGACGGGGUCAGUAGCGGCGGGCCGGGGUCCUCGUCAGAGGAGACGAGGUCAGUAGCUGCUUAGUAACUAUUAAACCCACCAAAAUCAAAGUUUAGUCAUUUCUAACAUGUACUGCCCUAUUUUUUUGUAUGAAAAGGGGAUAUAAAAUGCAAGGUUAAUGUCAUGUGAAGUUUAAUAACUUUAGUUUUUGAUAAAAUAUGUGAAAAGUCCAGACAGGGCGUAUUGGGUACUGUGUACCCAUUAAGCCCAUGGGUGUGCCAAAUAAACCCACCUUCUUAAAUAAUCCAUUUGAAUUAAUUUCCCUUACAAACUGGCA